AACGAACGCUGGCGGCAUGCCUAACACAUGCCAGUCGAACGAGACCUUCGGGUCUAGUGGCGCACGGGUGCGUAACGCGUGGGAACCUGCCCUUAGGUUCGGAAUAACUCCCCGAAAGGGGUGCUAGUACCGGAUAAUGUCUUCGGACCAAAGAUUUAUCGCCUUUGGAUGGGCCCGCGUUGGAUUAGCUAGUUGGUAGGGUAAAAGCCUACCAAGGCGACGAUCCAUAGCUGGUCUGAGAGGAUGAUCAGCCACACUGGGACUGAGACACGGCCCAGACUCCUACGGGAGGCAGCAGUGGGGAAUAUUGGACAAUGGGCGAAAGCCUGAUCCAGCAAUGCCGCGUGAGUGAUGAAGGCCUUAGGGUUGUAAAGCUCUUUUACCCGGGAUGAUAAUGACAGUACCGGGAGAAUAAGCUCCGGCUAACUCCGUG
rnacentral:rRNA from 1 species